rnacentral:rRNA from 1 species
AACAAGUACAGUGAGGGAAAGUUGCAAAGCACUUUGGAGAAAGAGUUAAACAGUACGUGAAACCACUGGAAGGCAAACAGAUGGAACCACGAAGUUUGCGCUUCGGUCGAUUCAAUCAACGCUUGCAGCCAACGAGGACGGAAAUGGAUCUUUUCGGAGAUUGUUCCUUUGUUUUUUCGGCCGCAAGCUUUGGUGCAUUUCGUGCCGAGGAUGCUAAGCCACGUUCGAUCAGAUGAUUGGGACGGCCGUAAGAUUGGGCUGGAGAAAGGUGCCCGUCAAGUCUUUGAUAUGACGGCGUUAUAGUCUCUGGCCGGAACCGUCGCCUAAUGAACUGAUUGAUAAAAGUUCUCCUUCGUGAGUAUAUAAACUGCGUUUGCCUGUGAUUGCUAAUUGAUGUUUCGAGAUCGGUCUUUACGUGUCUUUGGAUGCGAAAAGCCGUUUCAACAAUGUCAAUUAGUUGUUGCUUGCAUUGCGUGGUGUAGAACUGUGGCGCGAGUAGGUCGGUUUCCAUUUGACCCGUCUUGAAACACGGACCAAGGAG